rnacentral:rRNA from 1 species
CGGAGGAAGGUGGGGAUGACGUCAAAUCAUCAUGCCCCUUAUGUCUUGGGCUUCACGCAUGCUACAAUGGCCGGUACAAAGGGCUGCAAUACCGUAAGGUGGAGCGAAUCCCAAAAAGCCGGUCUCAGUUCGGAUUGAGGUCUGCAACUCGACCUCAUGAAGUCGGA